rnacentral:lncRNA from 1 species
GNCUGUGAAGAAACUGCUGGAGAAUAUGCAGAGCGACCUGCGGGCCUUGUCACUAGAAUGCAAGAAGAAGUUCCCACCUGUCAAGGAGGCUGCUGAAUCGGGAAUAAUAAAAGUUAAAACAAUAGCUGCAAGAAACACCGAAAUUUUGGCAGCAUUGAAAGAGAACAGCUCAGAAGUCGUGCAGCCUUUCCUAAUGGGGUGUGGAACCAAGGAACCAAAGGUCACUCAGCUGUGUUUAGCGGCCAUCCAGAGGCUCAUGU